GACGUAGGGCGCGAGCGUUGUCCGGAUUUAUUGGGCGUAAAGAGCUCGUAGGCGGCUUGUCGCGUCGAAUGUGAAAUCUCAGGGCUCAACUCUGACAUUGCAUUCGAUACGGGCAGGCUAGAGUUCGGUAGGGGAGACUGGAAUUCCUGGUGUAGCGGUGAAAUGCGCAGAUAUCAGGAGGAACACCGAUGGCGAAGGCAGGUCUCCGGGCCGAUACUGACGCUGAGGAGCGAAAGCGUGGGGAGCGAACAGG
rnacentral:rRNA from 1 species